GCUGUGAAGCGGCGGUUGCUGGCGCGAGAAGCCGCGCGGGUCUCGCUGGGAGAGCACCGCCCCUCGCACGCCGGGGCCCGAGGACCAGGCACCUAAGAAAGAAGCAUCCCGGGGAGUGCCCUCCACAGCAGAGUGGCAGACGGUCACAUCCAGGACCGGAGCUGCUCGCAGUGAACUGGUACCAGUUUCUCCAGUCCGACUGGAGAACAGGUACGCGGCCCUGGCGACCCUGCAGGAGAUGGAAGGAGAGGAGGAAACCCUUGGGCAGGAAGAAACACCACAUUCUCCACACUCCGAACAGGUCAAGAGAUCCACGCAGACCCAGAGGAGGAGGCGACGAGUGCUCGUCAUAGGCGACUCCAUCCUGAGAGGUACGGAAGGGCCCAUCUGUCGCUAAGACCCCUCAACAUGAGAGGUCUACUACCUGCCCAGAGCAAAGAUCCGGGACGUGAAGGAAGUAAUCCAGGCCAGGAUUAAGCCCACCGAUUACUACCCCAUGGUCCUAGUCCAUGUGGGUACUAAUGAUGCGGCCAGGAGAACCCCUGAUCACCUGAUGGCGGACUACAGUGCUCUAGGCGGCGUGCUGAGGGAGUUCAGUGCACAGGUGGUAUUCUCUUCCAUCCUACCAGUGAACGGACACGGAAGAUGGCAUGAGAACUGCAUUAGAGACCAACUGGUGGCUUCGGCAGUGGUGUCUUGAGGCAGGCUUCGGCUUCCUGGACAACGACUCGCACAUCACGACGAGGGACAUGCUCAGUUGGGAUGGGCUUCGCCUGUCCCCCAAAGGCAUACAAAAGGCCACCCCUGUUUGAGGCAGUCAUUUUCUGAAUCCUGGUGAAACAAGGCAAGACACCAUGGGCAGCUAUCCUGCACUUGCUAACACUGUGAAAUGCUGAACACCAGCUUCAGAGCCACCGGUGAAGAACAUGGAGGUAUCAACAACCCCUGCCCCUGGGGGUAUUACAGAAGUGGCUACACUGGAAUUAGUGGCAUUUAUCUGUAGAAAAUGUGGAGGAAAAAUGUGCAAGCUGUACUGAUUAUAGACUCUCCACAGGUGGAUGAUGCCCUUAUAGAGUGUUUUCAAAACAUCCACAUCAGCAGUCCCAUGAUAGGGACCCAAUGCCGUUUGCCAGAAGUUAUUUGGUAGCCAAAGCUAGAUGCUGACUGUGAGCAAACAGUAAAGAGCUAUGAACUAUGCCAAGAUAAAUGCCAUGCACCAGCUAAGGCUCCAGUCCAUCCAUGGGAAGUGACCAGAACAUGGUGGUCUCAUCUGCACAUAGAAUCAAUGACAAUAAAGAAUAUCUCUGGUCUUGGAAAGGGUCAGCAAAAUCUUUCUCAAGUGGUAAGAAGCUAUUUCCAUUGCAUCAAUGACUUCACACACUUGUAAUUCAAGUUUUAUGUCAGCUGUUUGCAACUCAAGGUCUUCCAGAUGCCACUAUGUCUUCCAGUGCUGUGCAAGUCACUUCUGAAGAAUUUGAGAAGUGGAGAAGAAUCUUACUUUUCAUACCACAUAUGCACCAUUCUACCUGUCUCCAAAUGACCAAGCGAAGCAGAUGGUCCAAAUUACUAAUGAUGCAUUGAAAUGAAUCAUUGGAACUAAUGAUUAGCUAAUUGCUUACUACAACAGUAUGUAAUUCCAUGCACAGGUCACAGUGGCAAGAGUGUCUUCGCUGUAAUAGAGCAUUGACUGUAUAAAGGCCCUUUAGGGGUAACAGUUGUUCCUCCGAUUGAUGAGACAGACUCCUAGAGUAACAUCUGACUGACUGGAAAUUGUGGCCAUGGGAUAAUUCACUAAGCUCACCGUGGUCCCUCUCUUGAGACUUUGAUUGGCCAACUAUCAAGGAAAAAUGCUUUGAAGCUAUACAAUUAAACAAUAUAAAGCAAGACAGAACUGCCAGCAAGAUGUGUGCAGUCCAGGGAAGACCAAGCCGCCAUUCUACCACCCAGCCAAUAAGUGAAAGAUCCAUGCUGUGAGGCUGUACAAGAACUGCUUCCUGCCUGCAUUGGGUAAAGAUCUUUUUGCAACUCAGAUAAUACAAGGACUAAUAGCUCAUUUUAUAUUGGGAAAGACUCUUUUUCUGUCAUUUAAUUUUGUAGCUUGUUGGUAAUUAUUAAAGCCAGCCUUUCUGUCAUUUAUCAA